rnacentral:misc_RNA from 1 species
UUCAUUGCCGCAGCUUUAGGGAUUUGAAUUUGAGGUUUCCCGAAACUUGAUACGUUUCACACAUACGCACACGUACAUAAAAUGACCGACACUACGCAACAGACGGUGAACAUUUGUGAGGAUGACCUCAGUGCGGCAUUAAAAAUGCCCAUUCGCGCGCACGUGCGACUGGUGGGCAUCGAGAGGACGCACCCGGAUGUCGUGGCCAGAGAUCUAGAAACAAUCAAACGGUGCCGAACUAUGCAAGAGGCUGUUGAAGCAAUUACAGAAAUUCGCAGUCGGUGGAUCUCUGCAGGUAUUUUUCGGAACGUAAAGUAUAAUUUUGAACCCACUGCAGAUGGAGAGCGAAACGAUAUCUGUGUUCGGUUAGACGUUAUCGAAGAGAAGCCCAAAAAGAGUAUCGGUGUCUUCACCACGGACGCUUCCAUUCCAGAAAUCACGGUGGCCCUCGAGAACAUAUUGGGCGGCCGGUACUCCGUCAAAGGUAACUACAUUCCCCCCGCUUCCCGAAUUCAUUCGAUAUCGUUUUCUUUUCUUUCCAAUGUCCCACUCAUCGGCCAAAGCGCUGAAUAUUAUAUUGGAAGGAAAACGGAAAACAAAACAUACCAUCUGGCAAACUCUGAGCGCGUGGAGGAGGUAAAGGCAACUACCACAAACCGAAAAGGUAAACUUGCAUCUGAGUUUUCUGUCGGGUUACAGCGGAGGACCUUAUUAACAAAGCACAUGAAAAAUAUUCCUGUGGAGGACGCGGUCGAUUUUUCGGCGACAGAUAAAGGCUACGCCCGGCACCAGCUCACCAUGACAGACGUCGCUCACCACGCCAACCCGUUCCUCUACAAUAUGUACCCGCUUCCCAUUUAUGGGAGUCAGAUCAGCCUUUGCAAUGAAUUUGCCGGUGGCCCGAUGGGCGGUGAUUUUACAUUUCUGAAAAGUGAGUUUCAGGGAUCAAAGUACAUCCCACUUGGGCCUUUUUUUAGUCUGCAGCUAAGCGCAAAGCUCGCAGGAAUUUACCCCUUUUUCGGAAGUCGUAUUCCUCUGAAUGACCGACUAUUCCUGUCCAAUUGCCACGUUCGCGGGUUCAAGUCAGUCGGACCCUCUACAUUCGAUUGGGGAGGCAAUGCUAGUCGUUUUGCGGCAACUGGAGGCAAUGCUCUGUGGGCGACGUCACUAAGUCUGAACUUUCCGUUUCUUUUUUUUCCCAACAAUGGGAUCGCUUCAAUGCACCUUUUUGCGAACGCAGGCCAUGUGCGCAUGAUGGAGUCUCUCGAUGCACUCAAGGACGGCUACCGUUGGUUGCGGGACUGUGCAUGUUCCGUUGGUGCCGGAAUUGUAAUUACGCGGAUACCCAUCUUCGGCGUCGCACCGAGUGGACGCUUUGAACUAAACAUGUCUAUUCCUCUUGGUAUUGACAAGCAGGGUAAUAUAGUUUGCCGCAACGGUCCCAAAAGUUUGUUUGAUCGGUUCCGGUUUGGUUUGGUCUGGUCAUUCAGUUCCUCGUUCUAGGAAAAUAGUCUGCCGUUGUGCUAACGGUAUCGCACCUCUUUGCGUAUGUUUUUCGCUUCGUUUCAACGCACACAAGAGCCUUCCACUGCUCGUGAUUAACAAC